AUUAAGCCUGACACUUAAAAUAAUAAUUUAAAAGUCAGCAUUGUACGGUUCACAGCUGAUUUUUGCUAAAAGCUCAGGUUGGGAGCGUCACAAUUCCAUCCCAGGAGAUGAAGCUCCAUAUUUCAUGCCUCCAGCUCCAAUGUCACAAUCCACACCUUCUUCCCAACCGCUCCUGUACAUACAAUCUAUCCUGCUGCUUGUGGUGCACUGAAAAUGGCCCUGGCUGUGGCUGUCUCCUGAACUGGGCUCCUGAGCAGCUUGCUGGACCACAGCUGCAUCCUGAUGGUGAACGGGAAAGCAGAGGGAGCCCUGGCCCACUCCCAGGUGGUGAAGGUCACUCAUACACCCCAGCCUUGCUGCACAGGAGGCUCAGUCUAAGCAAGGUGGCAUCAUUGUCCAUCACCCUGGCUGGCUGA
rnacentral:lncRNA from 12 species